ACCCGCUGAACUUAAGCAUAUCAAUAAGCGGAGGAAAAGAAACCAACAGGGAUUGCCCUAGUAACGGCGAGUGAAGCGGCAACAGCUCAAAUUUGAAAUCUGGCGCAAGCCCGAGUUGUAAUUUGUAGAGGAUGCUUCUAGGUAGCGACCGGUCUGAGUUCCUUGGAACAGGACGUCAUAGAGGGUGAGAAUCCCGUAUGUGACUGGCCCGCACCUUCUACGUAGCUCCUUCGACGAGUCGAGUUGUUUGGGAAUGCAGCUCUAAAUGGGAGGUAAAUUUCUUCUAAAGCUAAAUACCGGCCAGAGACCGAUAGCGCACAAGUAGAGUGAUCGAAAGAUGAAAAGCACUUUGGAAAGAGAGUUAAAAAGCACGUGAAAUUGUUGAAAGGGAAGCGCUCACAACCAGACUUCUAGGCAGUGUUCCGCCGGUCUUUUGACCGGUCUACUCUCUGUCUCGAGGCCAACAUCAUCUGGGACCGCCGGAUAAGACCUUAGGAAUGUAGCUCCCCUCGGGGAGUGUUAUAGCCUCUGGUGAUGCGGCGCGUCUCGGGUGAGGUCCGCGCUUCGGCAAGGAUGUUGGCGUAAUGGUUGUCAGCGGCCCGUCUUGAAACACGGACCAAGGAGUCUAACAUCUAUGCGAGUGUUCGGGUGUCAAACCCCUACGCGUAAUGAAAGUGAACGGAGGUGGGAAGCGUAAGCUGCACCAUCGACCGAUCCUGAUGUCCUCGGAUGGAUUUGAGUAAGAGCAUAGCUGUUGGGACCCGAAAGAUGGUGAACUAUGCCUGAAUAGGGUGAAGCCAGAGGAAACUCUGGUGGAGGCUCGCAGCGGUUCUGACGUGCAAAUCGAUCGUCAAAUUUGGGUAUAGGGGCGAAAGACUAAUCGAACCAUCUAGUAGCUGGUUCCUGCCGAAGUUUCCCUCA
rnacentral:rRNA from 1 species